GUCCCCGAAGCGCAGUGGAUAGCGCGCUGGACAUCUAAUCCAGAGUUCGCGGGUUCGAAUCCCAUCGGUGAUG
rnacentral:tRNA from 1 species